AAUCAUAUUUGGCAGAUAGAAAAGGAGUAUAUGUGGCACCUUAGAGACUAACCAAUUUGAGCAUAAGCUUUCGUGAGCUGUAGCUCAC